UAAAACCUACCAAACUAAACAGAAUGGCUUUUUGGCUGAGAAGCCUGGGUCUACAUUUCAGGCCACAUCUGGGGAGACGAAUGGAGCCAUUCCUGGGAGGUGUUUUGCUGAUUUUGUGGCUUCAAGUGGAUUGGGUGAAGAGCCAAAAGAUAGAACAGAAUUCCGAGACCCUGAACAUUCAGGAGGGCAAAACGGCCACCCUGACCUGCAACUAUACAAACUAUUCUCCAUCAUACUUACAGUGGUACCGACAAGAUCCAGGAAGAAGCCCUGUUUUCUUGCUACUCAUACGUGAAAAUGAGAAAGAAAAAUGGAAAGAAAGACUGAAGGUCACCUUUGAUACCACUCUUAAAAAGAGUUUGUUUCAUAUCACAGCCUCCCAGCCUGCAGACUCAGCUACCUACCUCUGUGCUCUAGACACACAGUGGUGCCCUGGCAGCUGCUUCCUGCACCCAAACUCUGCUCACUCUUACAAUCAGAGCUCAUGGCUGUGCUGUCUCUUAAAGGCUGAUCACGGCUCCUGACAGAAUGGGGGGCGUUACUGGAAAGGGCAUUUUUCAAAACAAACAAAUGCUCUGAAGAAUUCCUCAGAGAAAGGAGGGAGGAUUUGCUUUUAAAAAUUACAUUAAUUUUCAACAGCUCAGGACCAGAGAUGAGGACAGACCUAAUAAAUGAUUAAAUGUAAGAGAAUUUAGAAUGGAGUAAAUAAUUUUCUCUCACAGGAGUUGGAAUGCCUUUCCCUUUGUGAUAAAU